ACUGGUUGAUCCUGCCAGUGAUUAUAUUCUCAGAUAAAAGAUUAAGCCAUGCAUGUCCAAGUGUAAACAAGUUACUAGUGAAACUGCGUAUGGCUCAUUACAAGACUGUUCACCUACCCGAGAACCAAGUAACAAUUGGAUAACCGUUGUAAUUCAAGGGCUAAUCAUGCACGAAAAAUAGUUUUCGCAAGAGAAUUAUUGCAUUUGUUAGUCUUAAACCAACAUUUUUAUUGUUGAAUCAUGACAAAUUGCGGAUCCUCAUGUUGUAAAAAACGGAGGACGACUCGGUCGGGUCUUUCCCCUAUCAGGUUUCGACGUGAGUGUAUUGAACUCUCGUGCCAGUGACGGGUAACGGAGAAUCAGGGUCCGAUUCCGGAGAAGGAGCCUGAGAGACGGCUACUACAUCUAAGGAAGGCAGCAGGCGCGCAAAUUUCCCAAUGCUCAUCGAGCGAGGAAGUGACGAUCAAUAACAAUGCGUGAUUUUUAAAAUUAUGCAAUUGGAAUGACUACGAUUUAAAGAGUCUAAGGAGGAUCAAUUGGAGGGCAAGUCUGGUGCCAGCAGCCGCGGUAAUUCCAGCUCCAAUAGGAUAUAUCAAUACUGUUGCAGUUAAAAAGCUCGUAGUUGAGUUUUUGGUGGGUUUUGUUGUUUUAUUUAUUUUAAUGAAAGUUGAAAUAUAAUAGAACCGCCUGCCACAUUGUGGAUCCCUAGUUUUAUUUUGAUUGUUAACUCGAUUGAGAUAAAAUUACCACUCAGUUACUGAGAGCAAAUUGGAGUGCUCAAAGCAAGCUUUCUAGCUUUGAACAUAUUAGCUUGGAAUAACAAAAAAGGACUUGCGUUCAUUUUGUUGGUUAUGAUUUUACGUGAGUAAUGACUAAAAGAAACAGUUGCGGGGGUAUUCGUACUGGAAAGUCAGAGGUG
rnacentral:rRNA from 1 species